rnacentral:rRNA from 1 species
AGUGAACGCUGGCGGUAGGCCUAACACAUGCAAGUCGAACGGCAGCACAGAGGAGCUUGCUCCUUGGGUGGCGAGUGGCGGACGGGUGAGGAAUACAUCGGAAUCUACUCUGUCGUGGGGGAUAACGUAGGGAAACUUACGCUAAUACCGCAUACGGCCUACGGGUGAAAGCAGGGGACCUUCGGGCCUUGCGCGAUUGAAUGAGCCGAUGUCGGAUUAGCUAGUUGGCGGGGUAAAGGCCCACCAAGGCGACGAUCCGUAGCUGGUCUGAGAGGAUGAUCAGCCACACUGGAACUGAGACACGGUCCAGACUCCUACGGGAGGCAGCAGUGGGGAAUAUUGGACAAUGGGCGCAAGCCUGAUCCAGCCAUACCGCGUGGGUGAAGAAGGCCUUCGGGUUGUAAAGCCCUUUUGUUGGGAAAGAAAUCCAGCUGGCUAAUACCCGGUUGGGAUGACGGUACCCAAAGAAUAAGCACCGGCUAACUUCGUGCCAGCCGCCGCCGUAAGAC